UCCCAGAUAGUACAGUGGUAAAUAAUCUGCGUGCCAAGCAGGAGAUGUGGGUUCAAUCCCUGGUCUGGGAA
rnacentral:tRNA from 1 species